rnacentral:rRNA from 1 species
GUAGGUGGCAAGCGUUGUCCGGAAUUAUUGGGCGUAAAGCGCGCGCAGGCGGUCCUUUAAGUCUGAUGUGAAAGCCCACGGGCUCAACCGUGAGGGUCAUUGGAAACUGGGGGACUUGAGUACAGAAGAGGAAAGCGGAAUUCCACGUGUAGCGGUGAAAUGCGUAGAGAUGUGGAGGAACACCAGUGGCGAAGGCGGCUUUCUGGUCUGUAACUGACGCUGAGGCGCGAAAGCGUGGGGAGCAAACAGGAUUAGAUACCCUGGUAGUCCACGCCGUAAACGAUGAGUGCUAAGUGUUAGGGGGUUUCCGCCCCUUAGUGCUGCAGCUAACGCAUUAAGCACUCCGCCUGGGGAGUACGGCCGCAAAGGCUG